CGCCUCCUCUCCUCCCGCCUUGCCGCCGCCCUCUCCUCCUUCCUCCCCCAUCCCCUCUCUCCUGAGCCUGCCUCCCUGCCGUGCCGCCCCGCCGCCUCCUCCCUCGCUUGCUUCCUCUCCUCCUGCAGCCGCCUCCCUCCCUCCCUCACUGGCUCCUAAUCCGGCGGCAGCGGUGGCGGCUGCCGCGCCCACGCCCGUCUGCUCCCAGCAGCCAUCACCUCCUUCGUCCGGCUGGCGACCCAUGCCGCGUCCGUCUGCUCCGCCCGCACUCAUGCCGCCCCCUCUCCUCUUCCUCCCGCCUCACCUCUCCCCCCCUCCUAAAGACCAAACCCUAACACCCCGCCCCGACCCUGGCUCCCGCCGGAGGGAAGGAGGAACGGCGAGGCGAGGCAAAGGUGGCGGCGUUGGGGACGCAACAUCCCCUCCAAGAGCCUCGGAAAGCAAAUGGGGAAGCUGCUGCGGGUUCUUCGACCUCCCCUGCCUCAUCUCGUCUCUGUAGGUGCAGCAUGUAGAUCGGCCAGAGGAGGUGGAUGUGGAGGAGCAGGCCAACACCCCUCCCUCUUCACCUCCCACCCAGCACUGGAUACUAUUGUGAGAUGGUCUGAUACAUGAAAGACAGGCUCAAGUCCCUCUAGGGAAGCAUCCAGUAUCCCUGUUCUACUGAUUUCGCCGGAACGUCGAACUAUGCUCCACCUGAGAGCACUGGAGCAAUCACAUCAUGAGAGGGUCAACAGACGACAAUCCGACAUGUGUCACCGACAGUGAAGGAAGCUGCCAUUCUACAGAAAGAACAAUCAUUCGAGCUACCCAUGAUGUGAGAGCGACAAGCAACCGUGAACCAUUGCACAUCAGCAACAAAAGAGUUAUCAAAUAUUAAGAGAAACACCACUAUGCUAACAAGCGAAAGGUUCAAGCCGACAGGACUUUGACACGGGGACCACAUCCCAUUGGUUAUGACAAUUAGACCCAUUAGUCAGAAUCUGUUCAGAUAUCAUCAUCUAUAAAGAUAUUAUGUACUGGUGAUUUGAUCCAUUGUGCCACUCAUACUUCACCUAUUUGGAUCAUUUAGCUCGAGCAAUUUGCACAAUCUUAUUCUUACAGUCCGACAUAUUCUAAACUUAAAAUAUUAAUGGGCAGUACGAAUGACCUUAAGUGAACCAUUUCCUGUAUAAUAACAAAAGAUAUGACAUAAAGAAAGCCGAGCCACUGCACAUGGGGAAAUAGAAGAUGAUCCUAUAUGUUUGGCUAGCCUGAGUGACACGAUAAGUUCCUGAGAGCCCUGUGUCAAAACAGAGUAAGGUUGCAAAGAAAUGCAAGACAAAUAACAUGAAAAUCUGCUAGAGAGCACUAGAGUUCCAACAACAAAGGAAACAACUGACUCACUAUUUGCUCCAUCAGUACAGAAUCUGUACAAUGCAAAUGGAACGCUACUGUUGCUUUCGAAAUGCUAUUGGAUCUUAUAAAGAUUUUUGGACCUGUUAUUCAUUCAACAUUGUCAGCUAGCUCACUCUUUGGAGUAGAACUUCAAGCCGAACAGAGGUAUGCUCUCCAACUUUACUCGGGGAAGGGAACUGGGUGUUGCUAAGAGAAAUGUUUUAAAAACUUGUGUUGCUACAAGCCACUCAGGAACUCGGUCUGAGGUGACGAGUUGGUCGCGUACUUAUGUUUUGCUUAUACUGGUCCUGUCCCUCAUAAGGGUGUGUAUCAAGUGUUUCCCAAUUUAGUUCUGGCAUGUUGAGUCCAUGGACAAGUAUGGAUUAUUCUCUUUAGCUUUAGCCAAUUUAGGAGACAACCGCUGUUUUCCUGCACAUUUGCAUAUAGUUUCAGUCGCUAUGAUAGUAAACUUGCUCUCAACGACUCCGAUCUUACAAAAUGUUAGGUCUCCUUAGUUCCAAAUAUGGUUUUACAGGUCUAAAAUUAUUUCUUUGAUGUGAGGUGCCAUGCUGUGGAUAACAUGGAGAUUAUCAAGGCGGAGCGGCGGUGAGUAUGGAGCUCAUAAUCAUCAGUUCAUCACCAUGAAGCAGAAGAAAUGGUAUAGCUUUGCCAUGCUGGACUUUGGCAGCCGCCGCUCCUCGGCAAUCAACAGGAGGUACAGCCGCUGCCACCACUCCUUCGCAGCGACGCAGGCCAGCGACGAGGAGGCUCGCAAUGGUGGGGGACGCAUCACCAUCUGCCGGAGAGGAGAAAGGCAUACCUACCCCUUAACGAUUGAAAUGCAGGUCCAGGGAAAACAUCUGCACUACUGUUGGGCCAAUUGAUGCUAGGUGUACAUUGAGAUGUUUCAGAAAAAUAGAUCCUUGAUGCCGGACAUAGUGCAAUGGUGAGAUCCACUUAUUUAUGAUGGCGAGGAUGAUUGUUAGGCUGGCAUGUGGAGCUGUACUAAUAAGCUAUGAGAAGGUCCUCACAUCACAACACCCGAGCAAGUCUGGCAAGGCUUGCUCGCCAUGGCCUACCACAUCGGCGAGACGGGGCGAGCACGUGAUCACCAUCAGCAGGUCCUUCGUCACAACACCCGAGCGAGCGAGAUGUUCAGACAAAGUUAUAUGUUACACUGCUAUUGACAUAUGUCGUAGAUGGACAGUACAUAUCGUUUCUCUCCAUGUUACAAUUUCUGUGACCUCGGCAUUUGGAAGACAUGUCAUCUGAAUUGUCUAUCAUAACUGAACCAUUACUAUCACAAGCAUCUUUUAGAAAUUCAUAUGAUGGUUCAGUUAUCUAUAUUAUGUGUGCCAUUUGUUACCUCUGAAAUAUAUAUUAUGUGUGCCCUGUCAUGUUGGUUUA